rnacentral:rRNA from 1 species
UGGGGAAUAUUGCACAAUGGGCGCAAGCCUGAUGCAGCGACGCCGCGUGGGGGAUGACGGCCUUCGGGUUGUAAACUCCUUUCAGCCAUGACGAAGCCUUCGGGUGACGGUAGUGGUAGAAGAAGCACCGGCUAACUACGUGCCAGCAGCCGCGGUAAUACGUAGGGUGCGAGCGUUGUCCGGAAUUACUGGGCGUAAAGAGCUCGUAGGUGGUCUGUCGCGUCAUUUGUGAAAGCCCGGGGCUUAACUCCGGGUUGGCAGGUGAUACGGGCAUGACUGGAGUACUGUAGGGGAGACUGGAAUUCCUGGUGUAGCGGUGAAAUGCGCAGAUAUCAGGAGGAACACCGGUGGCGAAGGCGGGUCUCUGGGCAGUAACUGACGCUGAGGAGCGAAAGCAUGGGUAGCGAACAGG